AACGGGAUGCUGGGCCAAUCGCCGGACUCCGAAGCGGCAGGCCUGGCCCACCGCUGAGGUUCCCGAGUGAAUUCGGUCCUACUGAGUGUUCGGGGUGCUCGGUGAGCCGGUUUGCCGGCGCCGUCGCUCCGUUCCUUCAGGAUUCGCUGGUAAAUCUCUUCACGGUGCACCUGCACGUCGUGCGGCGCCUCGAUGCCGAUGCGAAUCUGGUUCCCCUUGACCCCCAGCACGGUCACGGUAACGUUGUCCCCGAUAAUAAGCUUUUCUCCAAUUCUUCUUGUCAAUAUAAGCAUUCCAACCUUCCUCUGGUUUCGGACACGUCAUGCAUCCGCGCUUUUAUUGUCUAGUACGCUUAUGCCAAAACCAAGUGCGAGACGUUAAAAAUACAACGGUCGGGCCAAAUAGUUGUCCCGCCAUUGCGCCAUUCCCUUCGCUCGGUCCAAGACCGGGUCAGCGUUGCGCGCCGACCCAAGCCCGCACCGAAUUCAACGCCCCAUCCAGGUUCUCCGGCUGGGACCCGCCGGCUUGCGCAAAAUCCGGGCGUCCACCGCCCUUGCCGCCGACUUGUUGUGCCA
rnacentral:misc_RNA from 1 species